GUUGGGAUGUAGCUCAGUGGUAGAGCACUUGUUUAGCAUGUAGGGGGUCCUUGGUUCAAUCCCCUAGUACCAAAA
rnacentral:tRNA from 1 species